rnacentral:rRNA from 1 species
GACGAACGCUGGCGGCGUGCCUAAUACAUGCAAGUCGAACGAGAGCGACCGGUGCUUGCACUGGUCAAUCUAGUGGCGAACGGGUGAGUAACACGUGGGUAACCUGCCCAUCAGAGGGGGAUAACAUCCGGAAACGGUUGCUAAAACCGCAUAGGUCUUCGAACCGCAUGGUUUGAAGAUGAAAAGAGGCCCAAGCUUCUGCUGAUGGAUGGACCCGCGGUGCAUUAGCUAGUUGGUGAGGUAACGGCUCACCAAGGCCGUGAUGCAUAGCCGACCUGAGAGGGUGAUCGGCCACAUUGGGACUGAGACACGGCCCAAACUCCUACGGGAGGCAGCAGUAGGGAAUCUUCCGCAAUGGACGCAAGUCUGACGGAGCAACGCCGCGUGAGUGAAGAAGGUGUUCGGAUCGUAAAACUCUGUUGUUAGAGAAGAACAAGUGCUAGAGUAACUGUUAGCGCCUUGACGGUAUCUAACCAGAAAGCCACGGCUAACUACGUG